rnacentral:sRNA from 1 species
GGUCAACAACAUCAUAAUGACAUAGAUUCAAGAGAUCUCUGGACAAAAAAAAAUGACAUACAUCCAAACGGGGGAAGAGAUAAGAAUUUGAGAGAAGAGGCUACUGGAGAGGAGGAGAAGGAGAGGAAGUCAUUGGAAAGAAGAUUCAAGAAGAGAAGGAUUUGGGAACAGAGAUGAUGUUUCAGGUGAUGCUGGAGAAGUUUAGAGUGAGGAUGCAUUAGGAAAAACUCUAUGGGAUUUUUUCAAAUAUGUAAUUUUAAGUUGUGAAAUGUUUUGGUUUGUAAUUCUAAAUAGCCUUUUAAGAUUCGAUCUGUAUUUUAAUUAUUACUCUUGACAACUAUGAUGUUUUAUUGCGAAAUAAAAAUAAAUAUUGUGUCUUUAAAUGUAAGUGAAUAUUUAAAAAUAAAUAAAAUUGUA